AUAAAGGUGGCAGAAAUAUGCAUUAGGUUUAAGCCCUAAUUAUAAAGAUUCAUCUUUCCUUUAUU
rnacentral:tRNA from 1 species